rnacentral:snRNA from 1 species
AUCGCUUCUCGGCCUUUUGGCUAAGAUCAAGUGUAGUAUCUGUUCUUAUCAGUUUAAUAUUAGUUUCAUGUAUACAACAUAGUGAUUAGACAUUUAGAUAUUUGUAUACCUUAU